rnacentral:rRNA from 1 species
AGAGUUUGAUCAUGGCUCAGAUUGAACGCUGGCGGCAUGCUUUACACAUGCAAGUCGAACGGUAGGGUAGCAAUACCUGAGAGUGGCGAACGGGUGAGUAAUGCAUCGGAACAUGCCUAUUUGUGGGGGAUAGCCCGGCGAAAGCCGGAUUAAUACCGCAUACGAUCUACGGAUGAAAGCUGGGGACCGCAAGGCCUAGCGCAAAUAGAGUGGCCGAUGUCAGAUUAGCUAGUUGGUGGGGUAAAGGCCCACCAAGGCAACGAUCUGUAGCUGGUUUGAGAGAACGACCAGCCACACUGGGACUGAGACACGGCCCAGACUCCUACGGGAGGCAGCAGUGGGGAAUUUUGGACAAUGGGCGCAAGCCUGAUCCAGCAAUGCCGCGUGCAGGAUGAAGGCCUUCGGGUUGUAAACUGCUUUUGUACGGAACGAAACGGCUCUGGUUAAUACCCGGAGCUAAUGACGGUACCGUA